GAGAGUAUAGCUCAGGGGUAGAACGUGUGCUUAGCAUGCACGAGGUCCUGGGUUCAAUCCCCAGCACCUCCA
rnacentral:tRNA from 1 species